rnacentral:rRNA from 1 species
AUGGCAUCUGUACAACUGAUCCACAACGAUGCCGACGGAUUAUCGAUUUUGUUUUGUGUCUUCUUCGACCCCCUAUCGUCAAAUCCUGGCUCCGCCCCUGAUGGUAGCAGUUCAGAGGCAACACCGCUGGAGAGCAGUUUGAGCACAGAUAUUAUAGUUCUUGAGGCUCUACUAGAGGCAAAAAGAGAUGGUGUGGCUGCCAUGAAUGAGGUAAUCUUGAUCUUGAGGCUAGAAAUUAUGCAAUUAGUUGCACGCAUUAUGCAAGUAACCCAAGAAUUGGAGGAAGUAAGAAUGUUGCAUUUGAAGACGGAGGAGGUCCUGCUGCUUCUGCUAUCUGAAGCCCAAGGAGAGAACGACAGUCUGGACCACUGGCUCCACGAGCGCGCGAACGCCGGCUACCCCCUGCCCUGGCCGGCGCAGCUGCGGAUCACGCGGGGCAUGGCGAGCAGGCUGGCGCACCGGCACGGCGGUGUCGCGCGGGUGAUGCAUCGAGACGUGAAGUCGAGCAACAUCCUGCUGAACACGGCGAUAGAGACGCGCCUCGGGGACUUCGGGCUGGCGCGCGGGAGCGACGACAGGCACGUGACGAUGGACCUGGGAUGA